rnacentral:lncRNA from 1 species
GCGGGCGGCGGGCGGGUGUGACGGCCCGUGUGCGGCGCGCUGCCUGCCCAAGCCUCCGGUGCCCGCUACACCUGCCGCCCACCAGGUCCCACCUAUUUCUUCUUGAUCUCCACAGCCUGUAGGGCAAAAUAGCGAGCGCGAGGAUGCUUUCCUUCGUCUGCCUUAUUGGCCCAAGGCUCGAGCCAUCUGGUGCCAGUGAUGAUGGUGAAAAUACCAAAACCUCGGGGUUGGAAGGUGCCUUGGGUCAUAGAAGCCUCCUCCCGCUCAAGAAUCUGAGAGCAAAGGUUGAGAUGAUGAGAACAAUUUGUAAAGAUUGUAGCUCUAUAGUUAAAAGAAGAGCCACUGUAGAGAGUAUUCUGAUGACGUCCACUGCUCUACCCUGCCAUGCGUGUUGGAAAGGACCCCCAGCAGCACACAUACCUCCCCCACUGUCCCCUGCCUCUGAGCUCCUGCUCAUCUGAGCUGUGGUCACCUCACAGUUAACUCAGCACUUCAUCGCUCUCCAAAACCAGGUCAUGUGUCUCAGCAAUCUGAAAUGGGCUCCCCCAGUCUUGGUUAUUCCAUGAUUUCAGAUGGCUAUGGUGUGGGAGGUUAUGGCCCUAAUACUGGAAAAGAGAGAGGAAGAAGUGUUGGGCAUUUUUUUUUCCUCCUGGAGUGGUCCAGCCUGGAUGUUGGCUCUCAUCAGUGCUCCCCCUAAGUGACAGCCCCUGGCCAGCAAGCUCUUUGAUGGCUUGGCACAAUGCACUUCAUAAGCUAUUGUGUGUGCACGUGGGGCACCAAGUGUCUUCCAGGAAGCUUUCCAGCAGAGUGGCUUUAUCCUUGAGGUCAGUGGUUUACCUUUUCAAGAACCUACCUACUCAGACAGAAAAAGACUGAGAUUCCUCCACCAAACUCCCCCAAACUUUAGGUCCAGGACUCCAAAUGAAGUCUGUAAACUUCGGAGUUUGCUUUAUUAGUACCUCUUGAGUUUGCUUUAUUAGUACCUCCUCUCCAUCCUAGUAUAGUUUAAUUCCUCCCGUAUCACAUGCCACUUCCACUUAAACCUUCCUGUAUUGCAAGACCUCAUCCAGAUCUACCAUUUAGGCCACCUUUUUAAACUACCAAACUAGGGGUGCCUGGUAGUGUAGUUCCUUAAGUGUCUGACUCAUGGUUGCAGCUCAGGUCAUGAGGUGGAGCAGAACAUCAUCGGCUCAGUGCAGAGUUGGCUUGGGAUUUUCUUUCCCUCUCUGUCUGCUCCUCCCCGCUGCUCAUUCUCUCUCUCUCUCUCUCUCUCCCCCCUCUCUCUUUCUCUCUCUCAAAUAAAUAAAUCUUUAAAAAAAAAACUAAAUGCA